rnacentral:piRNA from 1 species
AUUAUUGAACGCAGGUGGAUGUGAAGGAUU